rnacentral:pre_miRNA from 1 species
AAAAAGACAAACCCUGGUUUCCGUGCCUAACGUUUGACCGUCCGUCUUAUUUGAAAAAAAUAUUAAAAAAAAUUAAAAAGAUAAGUCACGCAUAAAAUAUUAAUCAUGUUUUAUCAUCUAACAACAAUAAAAAUACGAAUUAUAAAAAAAUUUUAUAUAAGACGGACAGUCAAAGUUAGACACGGAAACCUAAGGUUUGUCUUUUU